rnacentral:rRNA from 1 species
AGCGAACGCUGGCGGCAGGCCUAACACGUGCAAGUCGAACGAACCUUUCGGGGUUAGUGGCGGACGGGUGAGUAACACGUGGGAACGUGCCUUUAGGUUCGGAAUAACUCAGGGAAACUUGUGCUAAUACCGAAUGUGCCCUUCGGGGGAAAGAUUUAUCGCCUUUAGAGCGGCCCGCGUCUGAUUAGCUAGUUGGUUGAGGUAAUGGCUCACCAAGGCGACGAUCAGUAGCUGGUCUGAGAGGAUGAUCAGCCACAUUGGGACUGAGACACGGCCCAAACUCCUACGGGAGGCAGCAGUGGGGAAUCUUGCGCAAUGGGCGAAAGCCUGACGCAGCCAUGCCGCGUGAAUGAUGAAGGUCUUAGGAUUGUAAAAUUCUUUCACCGGGGACGAUAAUGACGGGACCCGGAGAAGAAGCCCCGGCUAACUUCGU